rnacentral:rRNA from 1 species
UACGUAGGGGGCAAGCGUUGUCCGGAUUUAUUGGGCGUAAAGAGCGUGUAGGCGGCCAUACAGGUCAGCUGUAAACUCGAGGCUCAACCUCGAGACGUCGGUUGAAACCGUAUGGCUAGAGUCCGGAAGAGGAGAGUGGAAUUCCCGGUGUAGCGGUGAAAUGCGCAGAUAUCGGGAAGAACACCUAUGGCGAAGGCAGCUCUCUGGGACGGUACUGACGCUGAGACGCGAAAGCGUGGGGAGCGAACAGG